rnacentral:rRNA from 1 species
UACGUAGGUGGCAAGCGUUGUCCGGAAUUACUGGGCGUAAAGGGCGCGUAGGUGGCCUGCCAAGUCAGAUGUGAAAUCCCCGGGCUUAACCCGGGAACUGCAUUUGAAACUGGUGGGCUUGAGGGCAGGAGAGGAAAGCGGAACUCCCAGUGUAGCGGUGAAAUGCGUAGAUAUUGGGAGGAACACCAGUGGCGAAGGCGGCUUUCUGGACUGUACCUGACACUGAGGCGCGAAAGCUAGGGGAGCGAACGGG